CUACGGGUGGCAGCAGUGGGGAAUAUUGCACAAUGGGGGGAACCCUGAUGCAGCGACGCCGCGUGAGUGAAGAAGUAUUUCGGUAUGUAAAGCUCUAUCAGCAGGGAAGAAAAUGACGGUACCUGACUAAGAAGCCCCGGCAACUACGUGCCAGCAGCCGCGGUAAUACGUAGGGGGCAAGCGUUAUCCGGAUUUACUGGGUGUAAAGGGAGCGUAGACGGUUAUGCAAGUCUGAAGUGAAAGCCCAAGGCUCAACCAUGGGACUGCUUUGGAUACUGUAAAACUGGAGUGCAGGAGAGGUAAGCGGAAUUCCUAGUGUAGCGGUGAAAUCCGUAGAUAUCUGGAGGAACAUCAGUGGCGAAGGCGACUAUCUGGCACAUAACUGACGCUGAGGAGCGAAAGCGUGGGUAGCAAACAGGAUUAGAUACCCCUGUAGUC
rnacentral:rRNA from 1 species